UUAAGUUAUUAAGGGCGCACGGUGGAUGCCUUGGCACUAGAAGCCGAUGAAGGACGUUACUAACGACGAUAUGCUUUGGGGAGCUGUAAGUAAGCUUUGAUCCAGAGAUUUCCGAAUGGGGAAACCCAGCAUGAGUUAUGUCAUGUUAUCGAUAUGUGAAUACAUAGCAUAUCAGAAGGCACACCCGGAGAACUGAAACAUCUUAGUANNNNNNNNNNNNNNNNNNNNCCGGAGGAAGAGAAAGAAAAUUCGAUUCCCUUAGUAGCGGCGAGCGAAACGGGAAGAGCCCAAACCAACAAGCUUGCUUGUUGGGGUUGUAGGACACUCUAUACGGAGUUACAAAGGACGACAUUAGACGAAUCAUCUGGAAAGAUGAAUCAAAGAAGGUAAUAAUCCUGUAGUCGAAAAUGUUGUCUCUCUUGAGUGGAUCCUGAGUACGACGGAGCACGUGAAAUUCCGUCGGAAUCUGGGAGGACCAUCUCCUAAGGCUAAAUACUCUCUAGUGACCGAUAGUGAACCAGUACCGUGAGGGAAAGGUGAAAAGCACCCCGGAAGGGGAGUGAAAUAGAACCUGAAACCGUGUGCUUACAAGUAGUCAGAGCCCGUUAAUGGGUGAUGGCGUGCCUUUUGUAGAAUGAACCGGCGAGUUACGAUUUGAUGCAAGGUUAAGCAGUAAAUGUGGAGCCGUAGCGAAAGCGAGUCUGAAUAGGGCGUUUAGUAUUUGGUCGUAGACCCGAAACCAGGUGAUCUACCCUUGGUCAGGUUGAAGUUCAGGUAACACUGAAUGGAGGACCGAACCGACUUACGUUGAAAAGUGAGCGGAUGAACUGAGGGUAGCGGAGAAAUUCCAAUCGAACCUGGAGAUAGCUGGUUCUCUCCGAAAUAGCUUUAGGGCUAGCCUCAAGUGAUGAUUAUUGGAGGUAGAGCACUGUUUGGACGAGGGGCCCCUCUCGGGUUACCGAAUUCAGACAAACUCCGAAUGCCAAUUAAUUUAACUUGGGAGUCAGAACAUGGGUGAUAAGGUCCGUGUUCGAAAGGGAAACAGCCCAGACCACCAGCUAAGGUCCCAAAAUAUAUGUUAAGUGGAAAAGGAUGUGGCGUUGCCCAGACAACUAGGAUGUUGGCUUAGAAGCAGCCAUCAUUUAAAGAGUGCGUAAUAGCUCACUAGUCGAGUGACACUGCGCCGAAAAUGUACCGGGGCUAAACAUAUUACCGAAGCUGUGGAUUGUCCUUUGGACAAUGGUAGGAGAGCGUUCUAAGGGCGUUGAAGCAUGAUCGUAAGGACAUGUGGAGCGCUUAGAAGUGAGAAUGCCGGUGUGAGUAGCGAAAGACGGGUGAGAAUCCCGUCCACCGAUUGACUAAGGUUUCCAGAGGAAGGCUCGUCCGCUCUGGGUUAGUCGGGUCCUAAGCUGAGGCCGACAGGCGUAGGCGAUGGAUAACAGGUUGAUAUUCCUGUACCACCUAUAAUCGUUUUAAUCGAUGGGGGGACGCAGUAGGAUAGGCGAAGCGUGCGAUUGGAUUGCACGUCUAAGCAGUAAGGCUGAGUAUUAGGCAAAUCCGGUACUCGUUAAGGCUGAGCUGUGAUGGGGAGAAGACAUUGUGUCUUCGAGUCGUUGAUUUCACACUGCCGAGAAAAGCCUCUAGAUAGAAAAUAGGUGCCCGUACCGCAAACCGACACAGGUAGUCAAGAUGAGAAUUCUAAGGUGAGCGAGCGAACUCUCGUUAAGGAACUCGGCAAAAUGACCCCGUAACUUCGGGAGAAGGGGUGCUCUUUAGGGUUAACGCCCAGAAGAGCCGCAGUGAAUAGGCCCAAGCGACUGUUUAUCAAAAACACAGGUCUCUGCUAAACCGUAAGGUGAUGUAUAGGGGCUGACGCCUGCCCGGUGCUGGAAGGUUAAGAGGAGUGGUUAGCUUCUGCGAAGCUACGAAUCGAAGCCCCAGUAAACGGCGGCCGUAACUAUAACGGUCCUAAGGUAGCGAAAUUCCUUGUCGGGUAAGUUCCGACCCGCACGAAAGGCGUAACGAUUUGGGCACUGUCUCAACGAGAGACUCGGUGAAAUCAUAGUACCUGUGAAGAUGCAGGUUACCCGCGACAGGACGGAAAGACCCCGUGGAGCUUUACUGUAGCCUGAUAUUGAAAUUCGGCACAGCUUGUACAGGAUAGGUAGGAGCCUUUGAAACGUGAGCGCUAGCUUACGUGGAGGCGCUGGUGGGAUACUACCCUAGCUGUGUUGGCUUUCUAACCCGCACCACUUAUCGUGGUGGGAGACAGUGUCAGGCGGGCAGUUUGACUGGGGCGGUCGCCUCCUAAAAGGUAACGGAGGCGCUCAAAGGUUCCCUCAGAAUGGUUGGAAAUCAUUCAUAGAGUGUAAAGGCAUAAGGGAGCUUGACUGCGAGACCUACAAGUCGAGCAGGGUCGAAAGACGGACUUAGUGAUCCGGUGGUUCCGCAUGGAAGGGCCAUCGCUCAACGGAUAAAAGCUACCCCGGGGAUAACAGGCUUAUCUCCCCCAAGAGUUCACAUCGACGGGGAGGUUUGGCACCUCGAUGUCGGCUCAUCGCAUCCUGGGGCUGUAGUCGGUCCCAAGGGUUGGGCUGUUCGCCCAUUAAAGCGGUACGCGAGCUGGGUUCAGAACGUCGUGAGACAGUUCGGUCCCUAUCCGUCGUGGGCGUAGGAAAUUUGAGAGGAGCUGUCCUUAGUACGAGAGGACCGGGAUGGACAUACCUCUGGUGUACCAGUUGUCGUGCCAACGGCAUAGCUGGGUAGCUAUGUGUGGACGGGAUAAGUGCUGAAAGCAUCUAAGCAUGAAGCCCCCCUCAAGAUGAGAUUUCCCAACUUCGGUUAUAAGAUCCCUCAAAGAUGAUGAGGUUAAUAGGUUCGAGGUGGAAGCAUGGUGACAUGUGGAGCUGACGAAUACUAAUCGAUCGAAGACUUAAUCAA
rnacentral:rRNA from 1 species